UGGUGAUGAUUGCGAAGAGGUCACACCCGUUCCCAUCUCGAACACGGCAGUUAAGCUCUUCAGCGCCGAUGGUAGUUGGGGGUUCUCCCCCUGCAAGAGCAGGACAUUGCCGGGCA
rnacentral:rRNA from 1 species